rnacentral:rRNA from 1 species
UACGGAGGGGGCUAGCGUUGUUCGGAAUUACUGGGCGUAAAGCGCGCGUAGGCGGACCUGCAAGUCGGGGGUGAAAGCCCGAGGCUCAACCUCGGAACUGCCUUCGAUACUGCGGGUCUCGAGUCCGGGAGAGGUGAGUGGAAUUCCUAGUGUAGAGGUGAAAAUUCGUAGAUAUUAGGAAGAACACCAGUGGCGGAAAGGCGGCUCACUGGCCCGGUACUGACGCUGAGGCGCGAAAGCGUGGGGAGCAAACAGG